rnacentral:lncRNA from 1 species
AUCAUGAGGGUAACCAACCGAUACUCUGUAGUGUACUGUGUUGCCAGGUGAUUUUGCUCAACUAUAGGCCAAUGCAAGUGUUCUUUCUGAGUGCAUUUAAGGAAGGGUAGGCUAAGCAACAAUGUUCAGAAGAUUAGGUGUAUUAAAUGCAUUUUGAAUUUACAGUGGGUUUAACAGUCUCCUGCCUCAGCCUCCCGAGUAGCUGGGAUUACAGGCAUGUGCCACCAUGCCCGGCUAAUUUUUGUAUUUUUAGUAGAGAUGGGGUUUCACCAUAUUUGCCAGGAUGGAAGCCUGUCAAUUUUGGCAAAGAAGUCUGCUAGGAUUUUGGUAGGGAUUUCCUUAACUAUAGACAAAUUUGGAAAGAAUUGCUAUCUUAACAAUAUUGAGUCUUAUAAUCCAUGAACAUGGAAUAUCUUUCUAUUUAUAUA